UUUUUGCCAUCUUUUUUUU
rnacentral:sRNA from 1 species